AUGGGUCCAGGUGACAGGUCCAGGUUCAGGUCGCUCGUUACAUCACCUGCUGAUCACUUUCAUGCUGCAGCUCGUUUUAAUGUAUUUAUUCAUAAAUCUCUGUUGAGUUUACUAAACAAAAUGCUCGUUAUUAAAUCAGGUGUCUGUACCCGAGUACGCGUUCAGGUAUCUGUACCCGAGUACGCGUUCAGGUAUCUGUACCCGAGUACGCGUUCAGGUAUCUGUACCCGAGUACAGGUUCAGGUAUCUGUACCCGAGUACGCGUUCAGGUAUCUGUACCCGAGUACAGGUUCAGGUAUCUGUACCCGAGUACGCGUUCAGGUAUCUGUACCCGAGUACGCUUUCAGGUAUCUGUACCCGAGUACAGGUUCAGGUGUCUGUACCCGAGUACAGGUUCAGGUGUCUGUACUUGAGUACGCGUUCAGGUAUCUGUACCCGAGUACGCGUUCAGGUAUCUGUACCCGAGUACAGGUUCAGGUAUCUGUACCCGAGUACGCGUUCAGGUAUCUGUACCCGAGUACAGGUUCAGGUAUCUGUACCCGAGUACGCGUUCAGGUAUCUGUACCCGAGUACGCUUUCAGGUAUCUGUACCCGAGUACAGGUUCAGGUGUCUGUACUCGAGUACGCGUUCAGGUAUCUGUACCCGAGUACGCGUUCAGGUAUCUGUACCCGAGUACGCGUUCAGGUAUCUGUACCCGAGUACAGGUUCAGGUAUCUGUACCCGAGUACAGGUUCAGGUGUCUGUACGCGAGUACGCGUUCAGGUAUCUGUACCCAAGUACGCGUUCAGGUGUCUGUACCCGAGUACGCGUUCAGGUAUCUGUACCCAAGUACGCGUUCAGGUGUCUGUACCCGAGUACAGGUUCAGGUAUCUGUACCCGAGUACAGGUUCAGGUGUCUGUACCCGAGUACGCGUUCAGGUAUCUGUACCCGAGUACGCGUUCAGGUAUCUGUACCCGAGUACGCGUUCAGGUAUCUGUACCCGAGUACAGGUUCAGGUGUCUGUACCCGAGUACGCGUUCAGGUAUCUGUACCCGAGUACGCGUUCAGGUAUCUGUACCCGAGUACGCGUUCAGGUAUCUGUACCCGAGUACGCGUUCAGGUAUCUGUACCCGAGUACAGGUUCAGGUAUCUGUACCCGAGUACGCGUUCAGGUAUCUGUACCCGAGUACGCUUUCAGGUAUCUGUACCCGAGUACAGGUUCAGGUGUCUGUACCCGAGUACAGGUUCAGGUGUCUGUACUCGAGUACGCGUUCAGGUAUCUGUACCCGAGUACGCGUUCAGGUAUCUGUACCCGAGUACGCGUUCAGGUAUCUGUACCCGAGUACAGGUUCAGGUAUCUGUACCCGAGUACAGGUUCAGGUAUCUGUACCCGAGUACAGGUUCAGGUGUCUGUACCCGAGUACGCGUUCAGGUAUCUGUACCCGAGUACGCGUUCAGGUAUCUGUACCCGAGUACGCGUUCAGGUAUCUGUACCCGAGUACAGGUUCAGGUGUCUGUACCCGAGUACGCGUUCAGGUAUCUGUACCCGAGUACGCGUUCAGGUAUCUGUACCCGAGUACAGGUUCAGGUAUCUGUACCCGAGUACAGGUUCAGGUGUCUGUACCCGAGUACGCGUUCAGGUAUCUGUACCCGAGUACAGGUUCAGGUAUCUGUACCCGAGUACAGGUUCAGGUAUCUGUACCCGAGUACGCGUUCAGGUAUCUGUACCCGAGUACAGGUUCAGGUAUCUGUACCCGAGUACGCGUUCAGGUGUCUGUACCCGAGUACAGGUUCAGGUAUCUGUACCCGAGUACAGGUUCAGGUAUCUGUACCCGAGUACAGGUUCAGGUGUCUGUACCCGAGUACAGGUUCAGGUAUCUGUACUCGAGUACAGGUUCAGGUAUCUGUACUCGAGUACAGGUUCAGGUAUCUGUACUCGAGUACAGGUUCAGGUAUCUGUACCCGAGUACAGGUUCAGGUAUCUGUACCCGAGUACAGGUUCAGGUAUCUGUACCCGAGUACAGGUUCAGGUAUCUGUACUCGAGUAUCUCUGUGA
rnacentral:lncRNA from 1 species